GCUGGGCGUGGUGGAGCACGCCUGUAAUCCCAGCUACUUGGGAGGCUGAGGCAAGAGAAUCACUUGAACCCAGGAGGCAGAGCUUGCAGUGAGCCGAGAUAGCACCAUUGCACUCCAGCCUGGGUGACAGAGUGAGACUCUGUCUCAA
ensembl:misc_RNA Metazoa_SRP Metazoan signal recognition particle RNA